ACUAUCACAAAUUAUGCAGUCGAGUUUCCCGCAUUUGGGGAAAUCGCAGGGGUCAGCACAUCCGGAGUGCAAUGGAUAAGCCUCGCCCUGGGAAAACCACCUUCGUGAUCAUGGAUCGGAAGAGCUCA